rnacentral:rRNA from 1 species
CAGCAGCCGCGGUAAUACGUAGGGUGCGAGCGUUAAUCGGAAUUACUGGGCGUAAAGCGUGCGCAGGCGGUUAUAUAAGACAGAUGUGAAAUCCCCGGGCUCAACCUGGGACCUGCAUUUGUGACUGUAUAGCUAGAGUACGGUAGAGGGGGAUGGAAUUCCGCGUGUAGCAGUGAAAUGCGUAGAUAUGCGGAGGAACACCGAUGGCGAAGGCGAUCCCCUGGACCUGUACUGACGCUCAUGCACGAAAGCGUGGGGAGCAAACAGGAUUAGAUACCCCAGUAGUCCCUGUCUCUUAUAC